rnacentral:rRNA from 1 species
GACAGAGGUGCCAAGCGUUAGGCGGAAUCACUGGGCUUAAAGCGUGUGUAGGCGGAUCGUUAAGUACCUUGUGAAAUCCCACGGCUCAACCGUGGAACUGCUGGGUAUACUGGCGAUCUUGAGCCACCUAGGGGCAACUGGAACAAGCGGUGGAGCGGUGAAAUGCGUAGAUAUCGCUUGGAACGCCAACGGUGAAAACAGGUUGCUGGGGGGUGUGCUGACGCUGAGACACGAAAGCCAGGGGAGCGAACGGGG